UCUGCGUAGGAUCAUCAUGCCGAGCAUAAACUGGACUUUCCCACUUGCCUGGCAGGAGUCACACAGAUCCCUGCGUGCUAAAUGAACAUCUGAGGUUUGAGAUGGGGCCCAAGAUGCUUUUCUGACAAGUUUCCUGGUGAUGCAAUGUUGCUGUUGGGGAAACCUCCAUUUGGUUUUGGUAUCAGGAUGAUGCUGGCAUCAUAAAAUGAGUAUUUUUCUUCAGACUUCAGACUGCUGUGCUGGAAGCAAGAAUUUCAAGCAUUGGAUCUUAGCUUGCUGGGCUCCAUAGGGGUGGGAUCCACUGAGCUAGACCACUUGGCUCCCUGGCUUCAGCCCCCUUCCAGAUGUCCUUGGCGUGUACACCCUGUGGAAUCUGGUUCAUCUUCAAUCUGUCAGAAGGCAUCAGAGGUGGUUUUGACUCCUUAUGUCUUGGACCUGUGCACAAAAAGUACGGGCAGGAGAGGAUGCAGGAGACUGUACAAAGUUCAAGAAACGAUAUGCUUUAAUCAAGGAUGGUAUAAUGUGAUGUUCUGACCAACAACGUAUGAGGAUGUGUUUCUUCACAACCUCACUAGCAGGGUGUAUGGUGAAGCUUUGGAUUUCUGUCAACUUGAUAAGGAAGAAAUGGUAAAAUGGAUGGAACAUCAGACAGCUCAUUAUAGAGACAAGUAAGCUCCAGUUCCAAAGUUGGUUGACAGAACAAGUCAUGACCUUGUGUGGAGGAAAAUGAGAUCCCGAGUGAAGUCUACAAUGUCAUUGACUCUGAAGAAGGACUCAGAGACCCAUUGGUGUUUAAUGACCCUUACUGGCCUAUGCAAUGGAAACUGGUAUGAUCUUCAGAAAUAGAUGGUUCUUUGGCAGUGUUAAGAAAUAUUAUUUUUGUCAUGUUCUAAUGCAGUAGAUAGGCACUUUUAUGCACUGCCUGCUUUUAUCUAUUGGUUUUGCAGAGAGAGACUUAGCAAACUUUUGAUGAAAUAUUACUGCCAUCUUAUUAAUGAACACUAAUCCUUUUAAUUUGAUUACAUCCUUAGGGUUUGAUUUAAUCUAUAAAAGACACCAGUAAAAACCCCAAGAUAUUUAAAUUUGGUGUGUGUAAACAGACUCAUUACAUAGAAAUGUUGUUGCCAUUCAGGCUUGAAGUUUUUGUUCUUGCAUAACUUAGAAUAUAUUCUAUAUUACAUCAAUACUGAGAGAACUUGUCUUUAUGGAUUAAGUGG
rnacentral:lncRNA from 1 species